ensembl:lncRNA
AAUCUGACUCCAUCAGUGUAGCUGUAAUUCAUAGCAGGGGUUUUGUCAUCCCAUAUGUGUGUUUUUAUUAUGAGCUGAGCACCCUGCUGGAUGCUGGGGGGGAGAAGGGGAGAACGCACUGGUGGGCAGAAGCCCAGGCUUGUCCUGUCCUCAGGCUGGCGGUUGGCAUCGAGGUUCCAAGUGCAAGUUACAGAGUCACAGUGCUCAGGUCCAAGUGAUGGUGCUAGAAGGCAGGCCUGUGGCUGGGCUCGGGAGGGAGACCUUGGUGUUUCUGAGGAGCUGAAGGAGGAGCAGAGUGAGGGCUGGGACCUCAGCCAGCAGGCUGGUGCCAUCCAAGGAGAAGAAGGCAGGGCCAGCCAGGCCAUAGGUCACAUUAAUACUACUUAGAAACACUUAGAUCCCGUGUGCCAGCUGCGUCCUCAGUGCUUCGUGUACAUUAACUCAUUCAGUUCUUACACUGACCCUGCGAGGUGAGUCCUAUUUUCCGCCCUUUUGGCAGCUGAGAAAACUGAAGCUCUCAGAGACUAAAUCACUGGCACUAGCUCACACCUGUCCAAGCGGUGGAGCUGGAUUCACAUCUGGGCACAGUGGCUCCAGGACCCACGCUCUAAGCAAACCACUAUUCUGUCUUAAUAUCACAUAUGUGGUUUUUCAGCCUAUGAGCACUGCAGAGUCCUCAGUGGGGUUUUGAAUAGGAGAGUAGCAGGAUCAAGUCUAUGCCUUGAAAACGUGUCUCGACUCCAUAUGGAAAGUGCAAGCAGAUGUGGGGAGAUAGUUCUCAUGACAGGGUCACGGGGUCUUCUUGUGACCCUGGUGUAUUUGGGCUCUGAGGUUUCCAGGUAAUUUUCUUUGACUCCUUUUCUUGGGGGAAUGGUGGAGUCAGCUGGAGAACAGGCCCUGGACCUUUUUUGGUUAAAUAUCAAUUUACUGCUUAAAUUUUCCUUGUUUCUUUCUUUUUGUUUUAAUUUAUGGCCACCCUUGAGGCAUGUGGAAGUUUCUGGGCUAGGGAUCGAAUCGGAGCUGAAGCUGUGACCUACUCCAUACCUUUGGAUUCUUAACCCAAUUGCAAGGGCUGGUAAUCAAAGCCUCGUCUCCACAGCAACCUGAGCUGUUGCAGUCCCAUUCCUAACCCACUGUGCCACAGCGGGAGCUCCUCAAUUUACUGCUUUUACUGCAGCAUUUAUUCUUGGAUCACAGUAACCUUCAAGUUUAGAGGGGAUCCAGCCUGAUCAUCGUUUGUAGACUGAAUAGUCUUUAGAGGCUAGCUGGCCCAGUUGCUCUCCCAGCAUCGGAAUUACUUAUGUGACUCUGGGUGAGCGAUUAACCUCCAUUCGAACACCAAAUACAGCAGAAUUUGAGACAUUGUCCCUUCCUCCUCCCUUUGUCUGAGUCACCUUUGCCCUUCAACCUGUCACCAAGCCCCAUCACAUCUCCCUUUCAUAUCUCCGGAAGAUGUCCCCUUCAAAAUGUUUCUGAUGCUACCACCCAAGCAGGGCCACUGCCAUCUCUCACCUUCAUUAUUGCAGCCUGAGGGAUCUUUCUGAAAUGUAAGUCAAUUUUUUUUUUUCUUUUUAGGGCCACAACCGUGGCAUAUGGAGGCCAGGCUAGGGGUCUAAUCGGAGCUACAGCUGCCAGCCUAUUCCACAGCCACAGCAACUCGGGAUCUAAGCUGCAUCUGAGACCUACACCACAGCUCACAGCAACGCCAGAUCUUUAACCUACUGAGUGAGGCCAGGGAUCAAACCCGAAACCUCCUGGUUCCUAGUCGGAUUCAUUUACACUGCGCCAUGAUGGGAACUCCUGAAAUGUAAAUCAGUUUGUAACCCCAAAACUGGGUUUGCCUGUUGGUGGGUGUCAAGCCAAUAGACACAACCGAGCCAAAUGUUGGGGGCAAAAAGGAUGCAUUAUUACUUGCAGCAGGUAAGGAGAACACUGGGGAUCUUUCCCAAAGCAGUGUCUCCCUGAACAGCAAGAUCGGGACCUUUUUUUUUUUGCCUGUUCCAGUGUCAUGUAGAAGCUCCCAAGCCAGGGAUCAAACCCAAGCCACAGCAGUGACAGUGCCAGAUCCUUAACCCACUAGGCCACCAGGGAACUCCUGGGAAAGUUUUAAGCUAAGGGUACAUACAUAUUCAUGAAGAGGCUUGACCAAAGGAGAAUUCAAAGUAGAGUUGGGGCCAAGGGAGUUCCCGCUGUGGUGCAACAGGAUAGGCUCUGUCUCUGCGGUGCCAGGAUGAAGGUUCGAUUCCUGGCCCAGCUCAGUGGGUUAAAGGAUCCACCUUGCCUGGAUCUGUUCCUUGGCCUAGGAACUUCAUAUGCCCCAGGGCAGCCAAAAAGGCAAAAGAAAAAAAAAAAAGAAUAGGGGCAAAGGUUGACAGAGUUUGAGCUUGAGUUGAUUGAAGUCGGGAGGGUCAAUGUCCUCAUUCCAUCUCUCACCAGGGUGGGGGCCUCAGUUCUUGCUGAACUCAGAUUACGAGGUGUAUCCCUUGAGGAGGAACUAGGACUCUGCUUUAUCAUUGCACUAUCUGCCUUUUGACCGUCUUUUCUCUGUUCCUGCAUUUCUUUGUUCCUUUAAAGAAGGAACAAAUUACUGAGACCUGUUCAAGGGCAAGCACUGUGGCCAGACUUAGAUCACAAAAUGGCUCAGGCCAAAACGGCUUCUCUUAUGUCAGGAAGGCCAUCUGGUUCUCUUUUUCUGGAGACCCCCAACCUAUCUUUUCUUUCUUUUUUUUUUUUUGUCUUUUCUAGGGCUGCACCUGCAGCACAUGGAGGUUCCCAGGCUAGGGGUCUCAUCAGAGCUAUAGACACCGGCCUACAGCAGAGCCACGGCAAUGUGGGAUCCAAGCCGCGUCCGUGACCUACACCAUAGCUCACGGCAACAUUGGAUCCUUAACCCACUGAGCAAGGCCAGGGAUCAAACCCACAACCUCAUGGUUCCUAGUAGGAUUCAUUAACCACUGAGCCACGACGGGAACUGGCCCCUCACCUAUAACAGAAUUAUCACUUGUCUAUUUAGCAGUGCUCCCCACUACCCUUGAAUGAGAGUGCCUGUUUCUUAGUAAGACUUACAUGAGAGCCUGCUCCACCUUCAUGUCAUGCCUCAGUCUCCUCUUUCUACUUCUUUACAACUGCCCGAUCCUUGGAGGUGAUUAUUAAGUACAUGUGGAGUAAGGAGCUCAGAUGAUUCUGAUGUGUAUCCUGAGUGGAGCCCUAAUCUCUGCUCUUGUUCCAAGGUUCUCAGUCUGGCCUUGUAUUAGAAUCAUCUGAGGAGCUUUUAAAUAUUGAAACCUGGUUCCUACCCUCAGCAAUUCUCAUUUGGUAUUUGGUUUGGUGCCCAGGCAUCUCUAUUUUAUUUUUUAUUUUCAAAAAAAUAACUGCCCUUGGGAGUUCCCUGGUGGCUCAGUGGGUUGAGGAUCCAGCAUUGUCUCUGCUGUGGCUCAGGCUGGCAGCUGCAGCUCUGAUUCGACCCCUAGACUGGGAACCUCCAUAUGCCAUGGGUGCAGCCCUAAAAAUGACAAAAAAACAAAAGGAACUCUAUGCUGUACAUCCCUUAUUUUUUUUAACUUUUAUAACAAACCUUCAAAAGAGGGAAGCUUCCCCAUUUUAUCAAAGGAGAAGCCUGUUCUGUAGUCAAGUAAUAUUUCCCCAAACAGCUGAUACAUGGCAGGCAGGGCUGGCACCCAGGCUCAUCCAAUAUCAAGUCUCUCGGGUCCUUGGCUUCACACCACAGUGCUUCAGAGGAGCGUGUCUGCUUGGGGGAGGGGAACGUGUCACAGAGUGGGGAGGCCAUGUGCUGCACACACUUGGUCUGUUUUGUGGUUUCGAUCUGGAGCUCAGACCUGUUCUCAGGCAACUUUAACCAUAAACUUCACACUGAGUAAUUGACAAAGCAUGUCUAGUUGUGUUACUUUCAGUUUAGAAGGAGUUAGGCUUGUUCUAGCUCCUUUAAUCUGAAAUAUUUGUGAUCAAACAUGGUGCCGAUCCCAAAUCAAGUAUGGAGUGUUUUUUGGUUUGUUUUUUAUAAUUCUGUAACACUCUUAGAUUUGCGAUAUUAAGGGGCUGUGGUAGGUCAUGGUUUUUCAGAAUCUUUUUCUCAGAGGUCGCUGGGUGUGUGCUAGAUUUUGGGUAGUGCUUUUGGUUUUGCUUUUAACAUCCUGGUUUUCCUUCAUGGAUCAGGGCCCUGGGUUUUCCUUCCAUUUUGCUGUUUGCAUUCCUGGCAGUCUCCACCUCUUACAGUUAAGUGCGAAUCUGAUACAUUUUGGUCUCUGUUUUAAAGUAGAUAACUCUUUGAUUUAAAUGAGAUAAUUAUAUAAGAGUAGUGUUCCUGAUAAGACUUCACACACAUCAAAGUUUGGAAUGGAAAAAAAUCAAGUGUUCAGCAGAGAUUCUUGAACUUUUCCAAGAAUUAAAGUGAGAUAAGAAGGAUGAGGGGGAUGGUAGAAUUUUGGGGAAGGGGUUGUGUGCUCCAGAGUGUCAUUGAAACUAUUUUUGCACAACAUUGUAAAUCAACUAUACUUUUUUUUUUUUUUAAUGGCCACACCUGUGGGCAGAUGGAUGUUCCCAGGCCAGGAACUGAAUCUGAGCUGCAGCUGUCGCAGCACCAGAGUCUUUAACCCACUAGGCCACAGCGGGAACUCCCAACUAUGCUUUAAUUCAAAGCAAAACAAAAGCCAUUUUUCUCAUUCUCUAGACUCUACUCCUUAGUAAGUUAGUACUUCUAUUUUUUUCUUUUCUUCCGUUUUUUACUGCUGUACCCACACGCACCAUAUGGAAGUUCCCAGGCUAGGGGUCAAAUUCGGAGCUGCAGCUGCUGGCCUACACCACAGCCACAGCGAUGCCAGAUCUGAACUGCAUCUGCCACCUACGCCGCAGCUUGAGGCAACGCUAGAUCCUUAACCCACUGCGCAAGGCCAGGGAUUGAACCCUCAUCCUCAUGGAUACUAGUUGGGUUCUCAACCUGCUGAGUCACGACGGGAACUUCAGUACUUCUUUCUUAUGUUCAGUUUUGCCACAUUCAUAGGUAACCAUAAUUCAAGUUCUCGUUUAUCUCAGUGUCUAUUUUUCAAGGAAGAGUUGGUUUCCAACUUUAAAGCAUAUCCUAUUAUUUGUAAUUGAAUAUAUUGUAAUAUUAAAAUAAGGGUAGUCCAAAUUGGGCACUCAGGUAUUAAUAUUUUAUCUUUUGGGGGUGUUCCUGUCAUGGCUCAGUGGUAACAAACCUGACUAGUAUCUAUGAGGAAGUAGGUUCGAUCCCUGGCCUUGAUCAGUGGGUUAAGGCAUUCCUAUGAGCUGUGGUCUAGGUCAGAGGUGCAUUUCGAAUACAACAUUGCUGUGGCUGUUGUUUAGGCUGGCAGCUGUAGCUCUGAUGCGAUCUGUAGCCUGGGAACUUCAAUAUGCCGUGGAUGUGGCCCUAAAAAGACCAAAAAAAAAAA